AGGGUUUGAUCAUGGCUCAGGAUGAACGCUGGCGGCGUGCCUAACACAUGCAAGUCGAACGGAGUUUAUGAGGAAGAAGCUUCGGCGGAAUUCUUAUAAACUUAGUGGCGGACGGGUGAGUAACACGUGGAGAACCUGCCUCUUACCGGGGGACAGCAGUUGGAAACGACUGAUAAUACCGCAUAAGCGCACGAGACCGCAUGGUCCUGUGUGAAAAGAUUUAUCGGUAAGAGAUGGCUCCGCGUCUGAUUAGCCAGUUGGCGGGGUAACGGCCCACCAAAGCGACGAUCAGUAGCCGGCCUGAGAGGGUGAACGGCCACAUUGGGACUGAGACACGGCCCAG
rnacentral:rRNA from 1 species